UACGAAGGGGCUAGCGUUGCUCGGAAUCACUGGGCGUAAAGGGUGCGUAGGCGGGUCUUUAAGUCAGGGGUGAAAUCCUGGAGCUCAACUCCAGAACUGCCUUUGAUACUGAGGAUCUUGAGUUCGGGAGAGGUGGAGUGGAACUGCGAGUGUAGAGGUGAAAUUCGUAGAUAUUCGCAAGAACACCAGUGGCGAAGGCGGACUCGCUGGCCCGAUACUGACGCUGAGGCACGAAAGCGUGGGGA
rnacentral:rRNA from 1 species